AAUUCUCAACCUUCCAACUUUUAUUAGCUUGGAUAGGCUUGGAUGUGGGGGUUGCAGGCUUCAUCAAUGAGGUCAGCUCUUCUUAAAUGCAUUAGCGGAACUUUUGUGGACCGUCUAUUGGUGUGAUAAUUAUCUACGCCGUGGAUGAGAAACAGCUUUAUCAAGUUCAGCUUCUAACCGUCCAUUGACUUGGACAAUUUUGACA
rnacentral:misc_RNA from 2 species